GAUGAACGCUGGCGGCGUGCCUAAUACAUGCAAGUCGAGCGAACGGACGAGAAGCUUGCUUCUCUGAUGUUAGCGGCGGACGGGUGAGUAACACGUGGAUAACCUACCUAUAAGACUGGGAUAACUUCGGGAAACCGGAGCUAAUACCGGAUAAUAUUUUGAACCGCAUGGUUCAAAAGUGAAAGACGGUCUUGCUGUCACUUAUAGAUGGAUCCGCGCUGCAUUAGCUAGUUGGUAAGGUAACGGCUUACUAAGGCAACGAUGCAUAGCCGACCUGAGAGGGUGAUCGGCCACACUGGAACUGAGACACGGUCCAUACUCCUACGGGAGGCAGCAGUAGGGAAUCUUCCGCAAUGGGCGAAAGCCUGACGGAGCAACGCCGCGUGAGUGAUGAAGGUCUUCGGAUCGUAAAACUCUGUUAUUAGGGAAGAACAUAUGUGUAAGUAACUGUGCACAUCUUGACGGUACCUAAUCAGAAAGCCACGGCUAACUACGUG
rnacentral:rRNA from 1 species